GGUGUCCAGCUGCACAAGGGACAGGCGGGCAGAUCCGUGGGGCCUGGGCCGUGGCCAUGGGGGCUUGGCCAUUCCUGCUUCCGGUCCUUCCUCCCCACCUUCCUCCCCAGAUGGUGGGGCUGGGACCUGGGCGGAGGCCACCUUGGCUCCUGCUGCUCUGGCCGAGGAGCCGAGAGCAUCUGCGCCGCCCCUUUCCUGGUGGCACUCACGGUGGGCGCUGGGCCUCCCCGGGAGUGUGGGGCAGCUGGUCUCCCUGGUUCUGAGGGCAGCCGGCACAGCCAGGCCAGGGCUGGGGACAGCGGCUAAGUGCAGACGUCUGUUUUCCUGAGCUGAACAAGGAGGACCCGGCCAUGUGGGAGGGCUUCCUCCAGCUGCUUGGGUAGGAAAGCUGAGGCCCAUUAGGUGGCUCCCACGGCCGGGUCCUCGCUGCCCGAAUCAGGGCUUUCCUAGAAAGCAGUGAUUUAACUGGACUAGUAUUUGGGGGGCACCUGGGCCAUCCUUGCCCUUGUGGGAACAGAACAGGCAUAAACCUGGCCUUCCAGAGCCCACAUGGGGAGACGGAUGUCUGCAACUCAGUACUGUGAGCUCCGGUGACAAGUGUGUUCGGGGUCACAGAGCUUCACAACCCAGAGACUUCCACGUGGACAAUGGGGGGAAGGGUGUCCAGAAAGAUCCCUGAAGAAGUAAUGUUUAAGGUGAUAAAGAAGCUAUGUGGGAGGUAGAACUGAAGGGGGGCAGUGGGGUUGGAUGGGAAGCCCAUUCCAGGCAGGGGGAGCAGCAGGUGCAAAGGGCCUGUGGCUGACGGGAAUGCUGGGUGCUUGAGGGGCAGCAGGGUGAUCCUGGUGACUGGAAUGUGAUGAGUGGGGGAAGAAGGUUGGGGAUGGUCAGUGGGAGUCAGUCCCCACAGUGUCCAGCAGCCUGUGAGAGUGUGGUAGACUGUUUUCUGCUGGCAGUGGGGAGCCACAGAUGGUUUAGUAUACGCACAGACAUCCUGGUGGUGUUGAAGGCAAUGAGGAUAGGUGAUCGUGGUAGGAAGCAUUCAGCAGGUGCUCACUGUGUGUCGAGCACCAUUCCAGCCAUUUCACAGGCCAAGGGAAAGGGCUGGGGGGGCAGUGACUUCCAAAGUCCCUGGUGAACAGCCGCGGUGGGGCUCUCGCCCUGCAUGUCCUGCACACAAAGUUGCCCUGGUCUGGCUGUGGAAGCCCCGAGGCACCAGAUGACACCCCCUCCUGCCCCCCGGGGUCCCGCCUCCUCCACACUGUGUCCCAGCCCUGGGUGGGGACUCCAGGUCAGGGGCGGACAGGCCCAGCCGAGGUCCUGGGGAAGCUGGACAGCCAGGCUGCUCCCUGGGCACAGGUCCCGCUGGCUUGCCUGGACGUGAGGAGUGUCCCCGGGGCAGGCAGCACCUGCCCGCUGCCUCCUCCCAUAGUCACAGGUCCAGGGACGGCAGGACUCCCAAGUCACCGGUGGCAUUUGAG
rnacentral:lncRNA from 1 species